rnacentral:rRNA from 1 species
UACGUAGGGUGCGAGCGUUUGUCCGGAAUUACUGGGCGUAAAGAGCUCGUAGGUGGUUUGUCGCGUCGUUUGUGUAAGUCCACGGCUUAACUGUGGGAUGGCAGGCGAUACGGGCAUAACUUGAGUGCUGUAGGGGAGACUGGAAUUCCUGGUGUAGCGGUGAAAUGCGCAGAUAUCAGGAGGAACACCGGAUGGCGAAGGCAGGUCUCUGGGCAGUAACUGACGCUGAGGAGCGAAAGCAUGGGUAGCGAACAGG